GCCCGCCUGGCUCAGUCGGUAGAGCGUGGGACUCUCGAUCCCAGGGUUGUGAGUUCGAGCCCCACGUUGGGUG
rnacentral:tRNA from 1 species